GUACAUAUAAGUUAAUCAGACUAUCACCUUGAAAAGGUGCCAGUGAGCCUUGCUCUAUUACCA
rnacentral:tRNA from 1 species